rnacentral:rRNA from 1 species
GAUGAACGCUAGCGGCAGGCUUAAUACAUGCAAGUCGAGGGACAGCACAGGUAGCAAUACUGGGUGGUAACCGGCAAACGGGUGCGGAACACGUACACAACCUUCCUUUAAGUGGGGGAUAGCCCAGAGAAAUUUGGAUUAAUACCCCGUAAUAUAGUUGAAUGGCAUCAUUUGAUUAUUAUAGCUACGGCGCUUAAUGAUGGGUGUGCGGCUGAUUAGAUAGUUGGCGGGGUAACGGCCCACCAAGUCUACGAUCAGUAGCUGAUGUGAGAGAAAGAUCAGCCACAGGGGCACUGAGACACGGGCCCGACUCCUACGGGAGGCAGCAGUAAGGAAUAUUGGUCAAUGGACGAAAGUCUGAACCAGCCAGGCCGCGGGAAGGAUUAAGGUCCUCUGGAUUGUAAACUUCUUUUAUUUGGGACGAAAAAGGGCCUUUCUAGGUCAACUGACGGUACCAGAUGAAUAAGCACCGGCUAACUCCGUGCCAUCAGCCGCCGUAACAC